ensembl:lncRNA
AUGCUGCUGUGGAUUCUCAUCCUGUGCCUCCAGUCAACCAGAGGCCAGCCGUCAUCAGACAUUAUCACACCGGGUCCUGCCUCGGGCAUUGUAUUGAGAGAGCAACCGGGACUCCUGAUCACGAAUUGUCGGACGUACACCCAGAAAGUAUACGUUCGACUCGACCCCCGCAACGUCUACAGAGCACACUACCCCCGCGCAGUAGCCCAGUACAGCUGGGCCGGUGCCCGUUGGACAGAGGAUUCCCUCCAGCACGCCGAGGCCGAUGUCAAGCACAUGCUCAACCAACUUGAGAAGAUGACUGUUACCCAGGCGGAACUAGGUGGACACAACCGCCGCCCCAAACGUUUCCUGGGAGCGCUGCUCGGAGCCGCCGCUGCUGUUGGAACUCUGUUCAACAUCGGUAUGUCCAGUGUCAAUGCAGUAAAUAUAGCCACUGUGAGACGGCAUGUGGCUGAAAUUCAGACUGAACUUCCACAGCUAAAAGAGCAACUCACUACACAGAGUGCAUCCUUGCAAACCAUUGGAAAGACUUUGAAAGGAACGGUGGUCAUUCUCAACACCCACAGCGUGCUUUUGAACCAGACCAUGAACUCCAUGAAACAGCUGUUCACUGUGUUCCAGAAUGACUUUGCCCAAACGCAGCUGGUCACAGCAUUAAUGACUGACAUGCUACGGGAAGUGAGUUCUUCCAUCGACAGUCUAGCCAUGGGAAGAAUUCCACCAUACCUGAUACCCCUAAGCUUGGUGCAAAAUGUGCUGGCUUCCGCCAUCACCACACCCACUGAUCCUAUGCAAAUCCACCUUGCCUACUCUCUAGGUAGUGCUAUUCCCCUUUACGUGGAUCCUGAGCAGAAGGAGAUGAGUUUCCUCCUGAACUUACCCAUCAUAGAGUCAAGCCGAAUCUACAGACUCAAAGACAUUGUUAAUGUGGGGUUCUGGAAGGAUAACACUCAUAUCAAGAUACGUACCCCUGAGGUGGUGGCGUACCAUGACAGCAACACCCAGCUGUACUUAGCCCCAAACCUGCACAUGUGCACCCUAACUAAAGACAUUCACUACCUCUGCCCCAGCAAGCCAUUUCUCAGAGACAAUACUGAUGGAAUCUGCGGGUUGCAACCCAUGAUCAGCGACACGCGUUGCCCUGCCGAUGCCCAGCCUCGCAGCCACGUCACCGAGACGCAAGCUGAGAUUGUAGGUGAUAGAUGGCUCGUUAACACUCCAGUACGUACCGCUACACUGACCUACGACCAGCAUGACACAGCCACCCGUGUCAAUCUGCUCGACCAGAGCAUGUGGAUUCAAGUCCCACGAGGGGCCAUCCUCCACCUCGACGAUCUGGCCUUAUACCAUCUUCCGAGUGAAGAGUACCAAUCAGAACUAGAAAUCCCAUCCUUCUUCAAGAACUACAACUUCACCCUAGGUCCGGAGUUGGAACUGUGGAUUGAAAAAGGCGGGCCUCAGCUCAUUGACAUUGCUCCCGUCGACGCAGCCCUCCAAGCCUUGUCUCGAUUACCCAUCCUGAACACCUCACCUGUUGUCCAAGCCUGGACUGCAGCUGACACAGCACUGUGCAUCUCCAUGGUCGUCGGCCACACCCUGACCCUUGGCGUGGCCUUAGUCCUAUACAGGAAACUCAACGAGAUGCGAAUCUCUGCAGCUAAACUCAAGACAACUAGGAUUGGAAGUCUCCGAUGGAAACCCCGAAGGGAAGGUAACACACCAGAGACGGAUAAGGACCUCAUCGAGUUGAGUCCUCAGCCCUAA